AUCCAGUUGACGAGUCCAAAAAGGGACGAAACGCGCAUCCUUGAU
rnacentral:hammerhead_ribozyme from 1 species